rnacentral:rRNA from 1 species
UACAGAGGGUGCGAGCGUUGUCCGGAAUCACUGGGCGUAAAGGGCGCGUAGGUGGCCCGACAAGUCAAUGGUGAAAGUUCGACGCUUAACGUCGAAUCGGCCACUGAUACUGUUGGGCUGGAGCACUGUAGAGGCUCAUGGAAUUCCGGGUGUAGCGGUGGAAUGCGUAGAGAUCCGGAAGAACACCGGUGGCGAAGGCGGUGAGCUGGGCAGUUGCUGGACAACUGAGGCGCGACAGCGAUGGGGAGCAA